rnacentral:rRNA from 1 species
CGACGAUACUACCGGGCUUGCUCGGUAGGAAAGUGGCGCACGGGUGCGUAACGCGUAUGCAACCUACCUUAAUCAGGGGGAUAGCCCGAAGAAAUUCGGAUUAACACCGCAUAAAAUCACAGUACGGCAUUGUACAAUGAUCAAAUAUUUAUAGGAUUAAGAUGGGCAUGCGUGUCAUUAGUUAGUUGGCGAGGUAACGGCUCACCAAGACCACGAUGACUAGGGGAUCUGAGAGGAUGACCCCCCACACUGGUACUGAGACACGGACCAGACUCCUACGGGAGGCAGCAGUAAGGAAUAUUGGUCAAUGGAGGCAACUCUGAACCAGCCAUGCCGCGUGCAGGAAGACAGCCCUCUGGGUCGUAAACUGCUUUUAUUCGGGAAUAAACCACAUUACGUGUAAUGUGCUGAAUGUACCGAAGGAAUAAGGAUCGGCUAACUCCGUGCCAGCAGCCGCGGUAAUACGGAGGAUCCAAGCGUUAUCCGGAUUUAUUGGGUUUAAAGGGUGCGUAGGCGGCUUAUUAAGUCAGGGGUGAAAGACGGUGGCUCAACCAUCGCAGUGCCCUUGAUACUGAUGAGCUUGAAUACACUAGAGGUAGGCGGAAUGUGACAAGUAGCGGUGAAAUGCAUAGAUAUGUCACAGAACACCGAUUGCGAAGGCAGCUUACUAUGGUGUUAUUGACGCUGAGGCACGAAAGCGUGGGGAUCAAACAGGAUUAGAUACCCUGGUAGUCCACGCCCUAAACGAUGAAUACUCGCUGUUAGCGAUACACAGUUAGCGGCUAAGCGAAAGCGUUAAGUAUUCCACCUGGGGAGUACGCCCGCAAGGGUGAAACUCAAAGGAAUUGACGGGGGCCCGCACAAGCGGAGGAGCAUGUGGUUUAAUUCGAUGAUACGCGAGGAACCUUACCCGGGCUUGAAAGUUAGUGAAUAAUCUAGAGAUAGAUUAGUGAGCAAUCACACGAAACUAGGUGCUGCAUGGCUGUCGUCAGCUCGUGCCGUGAGGUGUUGGGUUAAGUCCCGCAACGAGCGCAACCCCUAUGUUUAGUUGCCAGCACGUUAAGGUGGGGACUCUAAACAGACUGCCUGUGCAAACAGAGAGGAAGGAGGGGACGACGUCAAGUCAUCAUGGCCCUUACGUCCGGGGCUACACACGUGCUACAAUGGAUGGUACAGAGGGCAGCAAGCUGGCAACAGCAAGCAAAUCUCAAAAAGCCAUUCACAGUUCGGAUAGAGGUCUGCAACUCGACCUCUUGAAGUUGGAUUCGCUAGUAAUCGCGUAUCAGCAAUGACGCGGUGAAUACGUUCCCGGGCCUUGUACACACCGCCCGUCAAGCCAUGGAAGUUGGGGGUACCUA